GAGUAGUUGUUGAAAGAACACUACAGAGGGCCCUCGAUCCUGAUACAUAAAUGAAAACCUACCUACUGACACCACUAUGCAAACCCAGGGAGGCAAAGGCAAGGACAGACACACCCCCUGGACGGAUUAAGAAUGUGUAGCCCUAGCUGAUUGACUCAGUUUGUUGGAGCAUCUUCCUGUGUACGGGGAGGUUUCGGGCUGGAUUUCCUGGUGAAAAAAGUCCUCAAAAGGAAACGUUUUGCCAAUGUGGAAGAGGUAAAACAAACAAACAAAUAAAAAAAGGCAGAAGCACUAAAAGGCAUCAAAAUCGAGAAGUUCAAAACCUUUUUGAGCAGUGGAAAAACAUCUCAAUAGGUGUAUUGCAUCAUAUGGAGAGCUCUUUGAAGAUGGCUGAAGUUUAAAUAUGUAGAAAUAAAUGCACAAUUUUUAAUAAAUAAAGUCUAU